AAAGGUCUUGCUGACUUCAAAUGUGGGACUACCUUAAAAUACUUCAUGCGUGAAAAUACUGAAUUUUCAUCAGAUUCUUCAGAGAGAAAAGAGAGAUGUGCUAGGGAAGAGGAGAAAGAGGCCACUAACACUUGCCACCGGGAGAGUGUUUUUACUUAAUGGUGGUGAAGAAAUGAAGAAGACAACACUCUCCUUGAAAGUAUCUCAGGAAUUGCCGGUGUUUAUAAUUGUUGUUACUCUACUUAUUUGAAGUACUCAAGAUAUUAUACCAGCUGGUGCAUCCAGUUCCAUCAAUACUUCUUUGCAGCUUGCACAGGUACAAGAAACGAAGUGAUAUUUCAGAGUAGUAAGUAAAUUUGAAGAUGUGUAUUCUACAUGGAAGGUAAACUAUAUCCAUGCUUUAAUGUUAGGUAAGGAAGCUGAGGUUGCAUAUUAUAAAUGUGCCUGUGGGACUUGGAAUUGAUUCCCUUAAAAGAUAGUGGAAUCAACACACACAAAAAAAAUGACAAUUAUAGAAAUCUACCUAUCUGCCUAAGAUGGUGAAGAACAAAUGGGCUACUUUCCUAUCUUUGAAAAAAGUAACUGAAAGCUAUGGCUGGUGCCACAUAUGAGUGAAUUACACUAUAGAGAGGGCACAAGCUGAAAAAUUAAAGUACGGUUCUUAAUCAAUAAAUCUUGGGAACCUCAGGAGAAACAUCAAGUAUACAACUCAUGAUGCAAGCAAAAACUAAUUCUCACAAAAUUUAAA